UUGUUACUUUAGCAGCACAUAUACUAAAACUGGAACAAUACAGAGAAGACUAACAUGGUCCCUGCACAAGGAUGACAAAAAAUUUGUGAAAUGCUCCAUUGGAAU
ensembl:snRNA U6 U6 spliceosomal RNA